AGGUACAGGAACAAGGUCGGAGGGCAGAGUCCGCGGGAGCGACACGGAGGCCGGGACAGCUGCUGACGCCUGGUCUGGGUCAGUGGGGAGCCCUGGGGAUCCAGCCCGGUCCGGUGCUCCCAUCCUCAUCCAACGCGCUCCUCACAGGGGUGACCCCCAGCGAGGUGCCUGCGCCUACGUUCAGGGCGGACCCUGCAGGUUUCCUAUCAGAUGUUCCACCAUAAUAAUGCUGAUCAUCCUCUGAGAAGCACACUGGGCCUCCUGGGUUCACUUCAUCCUGGUCACUUAACCAUGGUUAGGCUGCACGCUCCAUAAGAGCUCUAGGUACCAGUGCCUAGCCCUAUCAGACCCUCAGUAAAAACUUGCAAAUGAAUGGAUGAAUGAUAAAUGACAAGAUUUGAUACUGGCUU
rnacentral:lncRNA from 1 species